CAAAGAACGAGUACUACGUCGGAAAAUGUAUAUUUUCAUAGAUUUCCAUCUGAACCUGCUGAAUAAACCAAUUACCAAAAUCUGCACUGAUUUGCUCUGAACAUUUUAAGUCAUCUGACUUUUUUCAGAGUCGAGAUGACAAAAAAUGUCUUAAGCCAGGUUCCCUUCCAAAGUUAGUGGGAUCUCUUUAUGAUAGUUCUUCGACUAGCUUAUCAUCUCAAAGUUUUAACAUCAGUUUGUUACCUUGUGGAUCCAAGCUUACAGAAAAUGAGCCGGUCGCUCGUAAUGUUACUGCGAAAUGUUCACCAGACAUUGAUCAUGAAUUAUCCUGCAUACCUGGCCCUUCAGAAAUGAUACAGAGAUCAUCACCUACAUCUUCUAGGACAGCUACUGCCUCUGAAGCUGAAUCAGAGGCCUGUACUAGUGUUUCAGCUGAUCAUUCCACAUUACAGCCCAAGGCAGUUGACGGAGAUAGCCUUCCUGAAGCUAAGGAGGCACUGGUGUUUAUGGUGGUACCCAUCAAUGAUUCUUGAAAAGUGCCUGUUGGGUAUUUUUUUCUAAAUGGGCUUGAAUCUGCUGCUAAAGCAGACUUAGUAAUUAAUUG